rnacentral:rRNA from 1 species
CCUACGGGGGGCUGCAGUGGGGAAUAUUGGACAAUGGGGGCAACCCUGAUCCAGCCAUGCCGCGUGUGUGAAGAAGGCCCUCGGGUUGUAACGCACUUUCAGUGAGGAAGAACGCCUGGUGGUUAAUACCCAUCAGGAAAGACAUCACUCACAGAAGAAGCACCGGCUAACUCCGUGCCAGCAGCCGCGGUAAUACGGAGGGUGCGAGCGUUAAUCGGAAUUACUGGGCGUAAAGCGCGCGUAGGUGGCUUGAUAAGCCGGUUGUGAAAGCCCCGGGCUCAACCUGGGAACGGCAUCCGGAACUGUCAAGCUAGAGUGCAGGAGAGGAAGGUAGAAUUCCCGGUGUAGCGGUGAAAUGCGUAGAGAUCGGGAGGAAUACCAGUGGCGAAGGCGGCCUUCUGGACUGACACUGACACUGAGGUGCGAAAGCGUGGGUAGCAAACAGGAUUAGAUACCCUUGUAGUC